rnacentral:rRNA from 1 species
AAUUCGCCCUUCGGGGUGCAGCAGGCGCGAAAACUCCACAAUGCGCGAAAGCGUGAUGGGGUUAACCCGAGUGCCGUCCGAUGAGGAUGGCUUUUCUUCAGUUUAAGGAUCUGGAGGAAUAAAGGGGGGGCAAGACUGGUGUCAGCCGCCGCGGUAAUACCAGCCCCCUGAGUGGUAGGGACGAUUAUUUGGCCUAAAGCGUCCGUAGCCUGUUUGGGAAGUCUUUCGUUAAAUCCGACGAUUCCAUCGUUGGGACGCGGAAGAUACUGCCAGACUUGAGGACGGGAGAGGUCGACGGUAGUCCUAGGGUAGGGGUGAAAUCCUAUAAUCCUAGGAGGACCACCAGUGGCGAAGGCGGUCGACUAGAACGUGCCUGACGGUGAUGGACGAAAGCUGGGGGAGCGAACCGGAUUAGACACCCGGGUAGUCCCAGCCGUAAACGAUGCGAGCUAGGUGUUGGAGCAACUACGAGUUGCUCCAGUGCCGCAGAGAAGUUGUUAAGCUCGCCGCCUGGGAAGUACGGCCGCAAGGCUGAAACUUAAAGGAAUUGGCGGGGGAGCAC